rnacentral:rRNA from 1 species
CAGUCGCCACGGGAAUACGUAGGGGGCGAGCGUUGUCCGAAGUUACUGGGCGUAAAGAGCGCGUAGGCUGGUCUUUAAGUGAGUGGUGAAAGGUUCGGGCUCGACCCGGACACUGCCUUUCAUACUGGGGACCUUGAGUGUGGGAGAGGCGAGUGGAAUGGUCGGUGUAGCGGUGAAAUGCGUAGAUAUCGGAAGGAACACCUGUGGCGAAAGCGGCUCACUGGACCAUUUCUGACGCUGAUGCACGAAAGCUAGGGGAGCAAACAGGAUUGGAUACCCCGGUAGUCCCUGUCUCUUAUAC